AGUGAACGCUGGCGGUAGGCCUAACACAUGCAAGUCGAACGGCAGCACAGUAAGAGCUUGCUCUUACGGGUGGCGAGUGGCGGACGGGUGAGGAAUACAUCGGAAUCUACUCUUUCGUGGGGGAUAACGUAGGGAAACUUACGCUAAUACCGCAUACGCCCUUCGGGGGAAAGCAGGGGAUCGCAAGACCUUGCGCGAUUGAAUGAGCCGAUGUCGGAUUAGCUAGUUGGCGGGGUAACGGCCCACCAAGGCGACGAUCCGUAGCUGGUCUGAGAGGAUGAUCAGCCACACUGGAACUGAGACACGGUCCAGACUCCUACGGGAGGCAGCAGUGGGGAAUAUUGGACAAUGGGCGCAAGCCUGAUCCAGCCAUACCGCGUGGGUGAAGAAGGCCUUCGGGUUGUAAAGCCCUUUUGUUGGGAAAGAAAAGCAUUCGGUUAAUACCCGAGUGUUCUGACGGUACCCAAAGAAUAAGCACCGGCUAACUUCGUGCCAGCCGCCGCAGUAACAC
rnacentral:rRNA from 1 species